rnacentral:rRNA from 1 species
GAUGAACGCUGGCGGCGUGCCUAAUACAUGCAAGUCGAGCGAACGGACGAGAAGCUUGCUUUUCUGAUGUUAGCGGCGGACGGGUGAGUAACACGUGGAUAACCUACCUAUAAGACUGGGAUAACUUCGGGAAACCGGAGCUAAUACCGGAUAAUAUUUUGAACCGCAUGGUUCAAAAGUGAAAGACGGUCUUGCUGUAACUUAUAGAUGGAUCCGCGCUGCAUUAGCUAGUUGGUAAGGUAACGGCUUACCAAGGCAACGAUGCAUAGCCGACCUGAGAGGGUGAUCGGCCACACUGGAACUGAGACACGGUCCAGACUCCUACGGGAGGCAGCAGUAGGGAAUCUUCCGCAAUGGGCGAAAGCCUGACGGAGCAACGCCGCGUGAGUGAUGAAGGUCUUCGGAUCGUAAAACUCUGUUAUUAGGGAAGAACAUAUGUGUAAGUAACUGUGCACAUCUUGACGGCACCUAAUCAGAAAGCCACGGCUAACUACGUG